rnacentral:tRNA from 1 species
GGAGUUGUGGCUCAGUGGUAGAGCGCUCACCUAGUAAGCAUGAGGCACUGUGUUCGAUCCUCAGCACCA